rnacentral:rRNA from 1 species
UGAGCAACCUACCCUCAACUUCGGGAUAAGCCUCGGAAACGGGAUCUAAUACCGGAUAUCACCAGCCUCCUCAUGGUUGUUGGUUGAAAGUUCUGGCGGUUGGGGAUGGGCUCGCGGCCUAUCAGCUUGUUGGUGGGGUAAUGGCCUACCAAGGCGUCGACGGGUAGCCGGCCUGAGAGGGCGACCGGCCACACUGGGACUGAGACACGGCCCAGACUCCUACGGGAG